ACAACAUUUGGACCGUCGGUCUACCGAGCACUAUCAUCCGCUUGGUGGAAGAUCUUCCCUUUGUCGU
rnacentral:pre_miRNA from 1 species